ACGGGAGCAGAGGGGUGGAGAUGGAGGAAGGGAAAUGAGGGAAACAAUGUGGGAGAGAGAAAGGAGGAGGAGGAGGGAGGGAAGAGGGUUGCUGCAUUUUAGUGAUAGCACAGACUGAGGCUGCAGGAGCAGACAGAGGGAUGGAGAGAAUCGAUGAGAGAGGUUGAAAUUAAGAGAGAGAGGAGGAGCAGUACACAACAGGAUUCCCAUACAGGCUGUGACAAACGUGUACUUGAAGAAGCAGUAAAAGGGGAUAGAGAGAGGAAAAAAGGAGCAAACUUGCAUCACUGACCACAGCAAGAGAAGAGACACUUCUCCUGUCAGAAGAGGAGAGAAGAAACCACCUGUAAUCAAGCUAAGAGACUAUUAGCAGCUGCAAGAAUACAGAGAAAAACAGGGAAACAUUUAAGGUGUAGAUUCCUGCCUCUGUUUGGGAAAGUGCGUCUCUCUUUCCUUUUUGUCUCUCUGCUUGAUUGUCUAUCCACAGGCUAUUCCUCCAUCUGUCUCAGCAGGAUACCGAGGCGUCAUUUUGGUGCCUGGGACUAAGAGGAAUGCUGAACGGAUGUGUUAGCUAGAGAGAGAGGAGACAAAAAAAAAAAAACAACCAGUGGAACAUUUGCAAGCUUCUUGAAUGAAAAGGGAGGAGAGAGCAGUAUGACUCAGAGCACAGCAGCAAGAAUACUGUGUAUUCUGCAUGCAAGAGGAGAGGUAGAGGGAGAUAGAGGAACAAUGAGAGAGAUAUAGGGGAAAAAUAGAGAGGACUUGAGCAGAAUUGAGCAGUCAUCAGACAGAGGAAGGACAGGUUGAGGACAGAAGCAGCCACACUGGCAGGCGGUGAGUGAGAUAUAGGCCAAGUGAAUCAGCUUGCUAGAGGGAGAGGAAGGCGAGAAAAUUGAGUUUAGAAAGUGGAGGGUUUGGUAUGACUGAAGAGGAUUGAGGGAAGGUUGAAUGAAGGUUUGCUGCAGGGUGGACAGUGGACAGAAAACAGCGAAAGACAGAAGGACGGUUUUAAUGAAAAACUACCUUAGCAGCUAAGGGGAGAAAGUCCUGAGUGACUGUGUCUUGCCACAGGGUGGGAAUAUGACAGAGGUUUGCAUAUGGUAGAAUAAGCUUAAGAAGGUUGACCAUAGAAAAGACAGAAAAUGGUACAAAGGUUAAAAAGGAGCAGAACAGACCAAAAAAACAAACAAACAUAGAGGUAAGGUAAAUAAAUCAGGCCAGAUCAGAGCAAAACGUAACAUCUAAGCAGAGAGCAAGAGCUAAAAAGGACAGUAAGCAAGCUGAACAGACAACACUGCAGACCAGAGAACAUGUCAUCCAACGCACAACGACAGGGACAUGGAAACUUUAACUGUGACAGCAACACAGCAAGAGGUUCUUGUUAAAUAUUGAUGCUGACAGGCCACUCUGGAAAGAGCUCGCUCCUUGCACCACAGAGGGGGAAACAGAAGGAAGCAACACAGCUGAUUUUUCAUUCUAAGGGAUUUUUACACAGAAAUAGAUAAGCUGUUUAGUGAGUAAGAUGACAGCCGAGUGCGGUUAAGUUAAAAUGUUGCUACAAAUUAAGACAAGACAUACAAAUUAGCCGAGACCCUGCUUUUGGCCAGCGUGUGCAAUUUCUUGGGGAGAGUGGAAUGACGACAGAGUGAAGAACGGGACCUUUAUCUUGAAAUGGAACAGCAAGGAAGAAGGGACUUAACAUUUGAGAGAUCACUAAGACCACAUCAGGACUAGAACAAUUUCUUCUUUUCUACGAGAACAAGAACCAGCUAUGGCUGAUGAAUACAGAUUUGUAUUUUGGAUUGACAUGCUGCUUUAUAUUUUGGAUUGACAUGCUGCUUUGACAGGCACUCUGGGGUAUAUCACUGCCAGAUGAGAAAAGCCAAACACUGCUGAAGCAUUUAUAAAUACCUCCUAUUUUUAUUUUGUCCUGGACUGAUUGGAACUGUUCCAACUAUCUCUGAAAAUAUCCUCCUUACAGAGAUUUGGCCAGUGGAGAAUUGCUGUUACAGCUUGAGUAAAUAGAAGUGUAGAAAUGCUUUGAUGUGCAUCAUCAUGAAAGGAUACUUUGAGUGGAAGCAGGAUGUAUACUUCGUUUUUGUCUCCAUGACUAAAUAAGCCACGAUGGGUGAUUCUCCAAUUUGAUGUCAUCAAGAAAUUAAAAUAGAGACUUCCUUCAGUCUGACCUGAAUCACAGAUUCCUCCAAACAUCACGACAAUAACGCUGGUCGACACAACGCCACAGUCUCCGUUCAGCUGUGGAUAGACCAGCUGCACGUUUAUGUGUGUAUGUGGCUGCGUGGGGGUGUAAGGACUGUCGAGGAGCUCGGCUGUGUUUGUGCGUUUGCUUGUGUGAGUAUGGGUGUAGAGGGGUGUGUGUGAAGUGCGCGUCGAGCUUUGAACCCAGCUGUGUCUGAGUGUAUUUUCAAAGCAUCGCCCGAAGCUGUGUGUGUGUGAGAGCGUGUGUUUCUGUGUGUGUGUGUGUGUGUGUGUGUGUGUGUGUGUCGCCUGGAUUCUCCCCACCAGCGACAGAGCUGGACCUGAACAGCAGUGGUGAGAGGGGGGACAGGGAGGGGGAGGAGGAGCAGAAGAGGGAGGUGAAAGAAACCAGCAGGACGGAGGAGAAGAACAAAUUGGCAAGAUGCUCAGAUAAAGAGAGGAAAGAAAGGAGCUUUUGGCUGCCCCCCUGGUGCAAUGUGUGGCGUCGCGCCCUGUGGGGGUGGGGUUCUGUGAUGGUAACCAUGGUCCCCGGCAGCCGCUAUGUCUGCAGCGCUCACGCAAGAGAGGAAGACUCCACGAAUGACCGCGAGGAGCGAAUUUUAGCCGUGCUCGGCAUCAUCGGGACCAUCCUCAAUCUUUUAGUGGUCAUAUUUGUCUACAUCUACACCUCUGUCACCUAAGGUUUCCUGCAAGACUUGAACAAGGGACGUUGGCGCUGUCCCCAACUUUUCUCCACACUGCCGCCCUCCUCUUUAAGUAUUCAUACACUUAGAGGUUUGAUUAUUCAGAGUGAGCAGUAUGAUGUGAGGAUCAUUGGCAGUGUGUCCGGCUGGAUAGUUGCCAUAUUUAUCUGCACCUGCAUCACUGCUUAUCCCUCAAGACAGCUUUGCUUUGUUAACUAAAAACUGCUGCCAAUCAUUGAGAAGGAGCUACAGGUGGACUUCCCUAUACUUUUAAACUGUAUCUUCCCAUUUUUCAAGACAUUUUCACAUAAUCACAUUUCAAGUGACUGCUGACAGCGUGAUUCAUAUUGAUCCUUGACUGGGGCAUAGCAUUUCUGUGACUGCUUAGACAGCAGGAGUUGAGCUCUUAAGUGUCUUUGAUCUGAUGGUGGUCAUAUUAGACUGCGCUGCAUCUUCCACUUUGUCACAUGACAUGUAAAAGUGUGUGGUUUCUGUCUUUCAACAAUCAAGCUCCUUUGUGAGGUUUAAGGUAUUAUCACUGGCACACUAGUGGUACACUACUAAAACUAUUAACAAGGACUAAAAUUGCCAAGUGAAUUGUCAAUGAAGGAACCAUUAGGCCUAUCUACUCCUGAACACCCUUUAAUCUACUUGAAUAGAACAUUGAUACAGAUAUACAGAAAAUCACUCACACACAUUACUAAAUAUCAGCUUCUGUAGUUAGUAGACUCACAGAAAAAGGUUUACAUGGACCUAACGUGUCCGUACCUGAGCACACCAGAGGAGAGAUUCCUGGCUGUGCUAGGAGUCAUCGGCAUCAUGCUCAACCUCCUGCUGCUUGUCUUUGUCUACAUAUACACCUCCACCUGAUAUAUGUACCUGAACACAGUAUCAGUUAUGAGAUCAUUUGCCACACCUUAACAGCACCUAUACCUAAAACAACCAGGUGUGCCAGUGAUCGUAUUGUGUUCUUCAACCACACCUGUAUAUAUUGUACCAAGGCACUGGUUCAUAGCUAAUUUGUGGAUUAUAUGAUAUUCUAGGCAGGUUUCUGUGCCUAAUAAUAGAGUGAUACUCUAAUAAUAGUGGGAACAUGGUGAACAGAAGGUGAUGAGAGAAUUUAGAGGCAGUUAUAUGUGUUCACUGACUAAUUUAUAAUAAAAAUACAAAAUGUA